UACGUAGGGGGCGAGCGUUGUCCGGAGUUACUGGGCGUAAAGCGCACGUAGGCGGCUUUGUAAGUUAGAGGUGAAAGCCUGGAGCUCAACUCCAGAAUUGCCUUUAAGACUGCAUCGCUUGAAUCCAGGAGAGGUGAGUGGAAUUCCGAGUGUAGAGGUGAAAUUCGUAGAUAUUCGGAAGAACACCAGUGGCGAAGGCGGCUCACUGGACUGGUAUUGACGCUGAGGUGCGAAAGCGUGGGGAGCAAACAGG
rnacentral:rRNA from 1 species